rnacentral:pre_miRNA from 1 species
UAUGGUUAGUUUUGCUGGUUUGCCUUCAGCUUUUACCUCGUUGCUGUGCAAAUCCAUGCAAAACUGAUCAUGAC